rnacentral:rRNA from 1 species
UACGUAGGGGGCAAGCGUUGUCCGGAAUCAUUGGGCGUAAAGAGCGCGUAGGCGGUCCGGUAAGUCCGCUCUGAAAGUCCGGGGCUCAACCCCGGGAGGCGGGCGGAUACUGUCGGGCUAGAGUCCGGAAGAGGCGAGUGGAAUUCCUGGUGUAGCGGUGAAAUGCGCAGAUAUCAGGAGGAACACCGGUGGCGAAGGCGGGUCUCUGGGCAACUACUGACGCUGAGGAGCGAAAGCGUGGGGAGCAAACAGG